rnacentral:tRNA from 1 species
GGGGUUGUGGCUCAGUUGUUGAGCACUUGCCUUAAAUGUAUGAGGCACUGUGUUCAAUUCUCAGCACCACA